GACGAACGCUGGCGGCGUGCUUAACACAUGCAAGUCGAACGGAAAGGCCCAGCUUGCUGGGUGCUCGAGUGGCGAACGGGUGAGUAACACGUGGGUGAUCUGCCCUGGACUUUGGGAUAAGCCUGGGAAACUGGGUCUAAUACCGGAUAUGACCUUCGCCUGCAUGGGUGUUGGUGGAAAGCUUUUGCGGUUCAGGAUGGGCCCGCGGCCUAUCAGCUUGUUGGUGGGGUAAUGGCCUACCAAGGCGACGACGGGUAGCCGACCUGAGAGGGUGAUCGGCCACACUGGGACUGAGACACGGCCCAGACUCCGACGGGAGGCAGCAGUGGGGAAUAUUGCACAAUGGGCGCGAGCCUGAUGCAGCGACGCCGCGUGGGGGAUGACGGCCUUCGGGUUGUAAACCUCUUUCGCUAGGGACGAAGCUUUUGGGUGACGGUACCUGGAGAAGAAGCACCGGCCAACUACGUGCCAGCAGCCGCAGUAACAC
rnacentral:rRNA from 1 species